GGCCUCGUAGUUCAACUGAAUAGAAUAUCAGAUUUCGGCUCUGAGGGUUACAGGUUUGAAUCCUGUCGAGGUCACAA
rnacentral:tRNA from 1 species